rnacentral:rRNA from 1 species
GAUGAACGCUGACAGAAUGCUUAACACAUGCAAGUCUACCAAGAAUCACUUCGGUGAGGAAUGGUGGCGGACGGGUGAGUAACGCGUAAAUAAUCUGCCCUUUAGACUGGGAUAUCCUUUGGAAACGAAGGUUAAUACCGGAUAUUAUGAGAUGGACGCAUGUUCAACUUAUGAAAGCUAAAUGCACUAGAGGAGGAGUUUGCGUCCCAUUAGCUAGUUGGUGAGGUAAAGGCUCACCAAGGCCACGAUGGGUAGCCGGCCUGAGAGGGUGAACGGCCACAAGGGAACUGAGACACGGUCCUUACUCCUACGGGAGUCAGCAGUGGGGAAUAUUGGACAAUGGACCAAAAGUCUGAUCCAGAAAUUCUGUGUGCACGAUGAAGGUCUUCGGAUUGUAAAGUGCUUUCAGUAGGGAAGAAAAAAAUGACGGUACCUACAGAAGAAGCGACGGCUAAAUAUGUGCCAGCAGCCGCCGUAAUAC